rnacentral:rRNA from 1 species
CAGUCGCCGCGGGAAUACGAAGGGUGCAAGCGUUACUCGGAAUUACUGGGCGUAAAGCGUGCGUAGGUGGUGGUUUAAGUCCGUUGUGAAAGCCCUGGGCUCAACCUGGGAAUUGCAGUGGAUACUGGGUCACUAGAGUGUGGUAGAGGAUAGUGGAAUUUCCGGUGUAGCAGUGAAAUGCGUUGAGAUCGGAAGGAACAUCUGUGGCGAAGGCGACUAUCUGGGCCAACACUGACACUGAGGCACGAAAGCGUGGGGAGCAAACAGGAUUAGAUACCCGAGUAGUCCCUGUCUCUUAUAC